UGUAGUUUAGAGGAUUAAAGCAUGUGACUUCGAACCAUAGUGUUGGGGGUUCGAAUCCCUCCA
rnacentral:tRNA from 1 species